AUUGAACGCUGGCGGCAGGCCUAACACAUGCAAGUCGAGCGGAGCGGCGGACGGGUGCGUAAUGCCUGGGAAUCUGCCUGGUCGUGGGGGAUAACGUCCGGAAACGGGCGCUAAUACCGCAUACUAUCAGAUGAGCCUAGGUCGGAUUAGCUAGUUGGAGGGGUAAAGGCACACCAAGGCGACGCUCCGUAACUGGUCUGAGAGGAUGAUCAGUCACACUGGAACUGAAACACGGUCCAGACUCCUACGGGAGGCAGCAGUGGGGAAUAUUGGACAAGGGGCGAAAGCCUGGUCCAGCCAUGCCGCGUGUGUGAAGAAGGUCUUCGGAUUGUAAAGCACUUUAAGUUGGGAGGCGUUACCAACAGAAUAAGCACCGGCUAACUUCGUGCCAGCCGCCGCGGUAAUUC
rnacentral:rRNA from 1 species